AGGUUGGAGGCGGUCAUCAUCAAGCACCGACACGCAUAGGUGCACACUAACGUGUCGGACAAGCACAUCAGCAGGUGUGAAUUCGGUGGAAACAAUAGCUUGUCUCCUCGCGCCUGAAAGUCGGUGCUGUUCUUUGUUCUCACAGCAGCACGGCUCUCCGUUGAGAGCGCCUCUUCACGUACGCGGAAGCAUGUCCAAGGACAAAAGGCCUCGCCUGGCGAAGAAGGCCGGCAAGGCAUCCAACAGAAAACGAAAGCGGGUAACCUCUUUGCCGACUGCGGCGCCCGUUCACCGGGCCCCUCGGAUGCAACAUGCGGAAAGCACACCCGCUGCCCCCAAGUCCAUUGAAGACGUUGCUCGUCUGUUCAUCGGGGUGGGCAAAAGCAGCAGCAACGGUGACGAAGCGUACGCGAGCACGGAGAGCAUCAGCCUACAAAUAAAGAGGGCAAAGGCCUCUAUGAGGCGACUCCGCGAAGGCGCAGAGAACGGGGCAGGGGAAAGGAACUCACCGAUGAAACGGCAAAAACGUUCCACAACCGGUACACUGUCGUCUGCGACCACGAACAACACGAUGGUGUUCGAGAGGAAGGCGCGCAGGCAGCCAAAAGUGGCGGAGCGAUAUGAGGAUGAUGAAGACGACGAGGAGGAUGUCGAACUGUCAAAGGCUGUACAGGCACAGACGCUGAGCUUCCUGCAGCACUUGAACUCGAAGAGUAGCAAAGCCUUCUGGGGGCUGCGCGACGUCGCGCAAGGUAAGUUAUCCGCAGCAGCAGCCACGACUGCCACGUCAUCCUCGUCCCAACUCCCGUCAUUCUCGAGAACGAAGGCUGCGAAGGGCAACGCCAAGGGGGCGAAGAAGGUGGCAGAUGACGGAGAGGAGCUAUGGCGCGUUGGUGGCCCGUACAUCUCCAGUGACCAGGCCGAUGACACCGAUGAGAGUAAGCGGGAACGCGGCCGCACCAGCGACUCCGAAUCGCAGAGCUCCACGAGCAGCAGCGAGCCGUCCUGGGUGACGGACAGCAGCGAAGACGAGGACUACGACGAGGCGGAAAGCGCUCCAGUCGCCGCUGGCGCCACGAGCCGACGCAAUGCCGCGGAGCCGCUAAAGCGAGGCGGCGGUGGUGGCCGCCUAUUCCAGGGCGGCGGCGAUGGCGUCUGGGACGAAGAUUGAUUUGACGACGGAGGCAUGGGCGAGCGCCUUUAGAAAGACCAGUAUAUGCUCUGCUGGUGGGCAGAGAGUGAAGAGCAUAUCUGUACGUGGGUUCGGAAAGCUUCCAUGCACCGCUGUGUGACCGCUUCCUGGCUGGUAUCGACUACCGGGCCGCAUU
rnacentral:misc_RNA from 1 species